rnacentral:rRNA from 1 species
GACGAACGCCGGCGGCGUGCCUAAUACAUGCAAGUAGAACGCUGAAGAGAGGAGCUUGCUCUUCUUGGAUGAGUUGCGAACGGGUGAGUAACGCGUAGGUAACCUGCCUUGUAGCGGGGGAUAACUAUUGGAAACGAUAGCUAAUACCGCAUAACAAUGGAUGACACAUGUCAUUUAUUUGAAAGGGGCAAUUGCUCCACUACAAGAUGGACCUGCGUUGUAUUAGCUAGUAGGUGAGGUAAUGGCUCACCUAGGCGACGAUACAUAGCCGACCUGAGGGGGUGAUCGGCCACACUGGGACUGAGACACGGCCCAGACUCCUACGGGAGGCAGCAGUAGGGAAUCUUCGGCAAUGGGGGCAACCCUGACCGAGCAACGCCGCGUGAGUGAAGAAGGUUUUCGGAUCGUAAAGCUCUGUUGUAAGUCAAGAACGGGUGUGGGAGUGGAAAGUUCACACUGUGACGGUAGCUUACCAGAAAGGGACGGCUAACUACGUGCCAGCAGCCGCGGUAAUACGUAGGUCCCGAGCGUUGUCCGGAUUUAUUGGGCGUAAAGCGAGCGCAGGCGGUUUGAUAGUCUGAAGUUAAAGGCUGUGGCUCAACCAUAGUUCGCUUUGGAAACUGUCAAACUUGAGUGCAGAAGGGGAGAGUGGAAUUCCAUGUGUAGCGGUGAAAUGCGUAGAUAUAUGGAGGAACACCGGUGGCGAAGGCGGCUCUCUGGUCUGUAACUGACGCUGAGGCUCGAAAGCGUGGGGAGCGAACAGGAUUAGAUACCCUGGUAGUCCACGCCGUAAACGAUGAGUGCUAGGUGUUGGAUCCUUUCCGGGAUUCAGUGCCGCAGCUAACGCAUUAAGCACUCCGCCUGGGGAGUACGACCGCAAGGUUGAAACUCAAAGGAAUUGACGGGGGCCCGCACAAGCGGUGGAGCAUGUGGUUUAAUUCGAAGCAACGCGAAGAACCUUACCAGGUCUUGACAUCCCGAUGCUAUUUCUAGAGAUAGAAAGUUACUUCGGUACAUCGGUGACAGGUGGUGCAUGGUUGUCGUCAGCUCGUGUCGUGAGAUGUUGGGUUAAGUCCCGCAACGAGCGCAACCCCUAUUGUUAGUUGCCAUCAUUCAGUUGGGCACUCUAGCGAGACUGCCGGUAAUAAACCGGAGGAAGGUGGGGAUGACGUCAAAUCAUCAUGCCCCUUAUGACCUGGGCUACACACGUGCUACAAUGGUUGGUACAACGAGUUGCGAGUCGGUGACGGCGAGCUAAUCUCUUAAAGCCAAUCUCAGUUCGGAUUGUAGGCUGCAACUCGCCUACAUGAAGUCGGAAUCGCUAGUAAUCGCGGAUCAGCACGCCGCGGUGAAUACGUUCCCGGGCCU